UUUUGUUUUAUUUCAAUAGGAGGGAAAAAUCGUCAUUUUAUUGAAAAAAUGGAUGAGAAUGACCUUUUUUGCAAUGAAAGGUGAAAGGUAGGGGUGAAAAUGCUAAAAAUGAAAGGUAGGGACGUUUUGCACAAUAAUAUUGAAAGGUAGGGACCUUUUCUGCUAAUUAUGCUAAAAAAUAAAAGGUAGGGACGUUUUGCACAAUAACUUUGAAAGGUAGGGACCUUUUGUGCUAAUUACCUUUUUGAUUUAACGGAGCAUUUUAACGGAGAGUUGACAGAAGGACGUUUUGCGCAAAAAAAUGUAAAGGUAAGGGUGUAAUCCACCAAAAAAUGAAAAGUAGGGACGUUUUCCACAAAAACAUCGAAAGGUAGGGAUGUUUUGUGCUAAUUACCCAAUGGAAAGAAAAGGGACUGUUGGUUUUGUGAUGAAAAAUACCACCCAGGACAUAGAUGUAAUAAACCCAAAAUUUACCUUUUGGAAGGGAUGGAAGGAGAAGAAGAGGACAGCGUGGGUGCUGAAGGAGAGGAGAAAUCCUUGGUUGUGGUUGGAACUACUAAAGGAGAGGUUGGGGAGUUGCUAGGAAUAUCCCUACAUACUAUAGCUGGAUCAUUAACCAUAAAAACCAUGAGGUUGUUUGCUGAAAUUAAUCAUCACAAAGUUCUAGUUUUGAUUGAUACAGAAAGCACUCAUAGUUUUAUAGAUCCAUAUGUAGCAAGGAAGGCUAAUCUGUCAAGGGAAGAAAGCCACUUAACAGUUUAGGUGGCUAAUGGUACCACUCUUCCUUGCCUUGGUCAAUGUAAGGCCGUCUCUCUUACGUUACAAGAUCAUAAGUUUAUGGCUAAUUUAUAUAUGUUGAAUCCUGGAGGAUGUGAUGUCGUUAUGGGGGUUGAUUGGUUAAGUGGGUUAGGAUCUAUUUUAUGGAAUUUCUUUGAUUUAACUAUGAAGUUUCAGUAUGGAGGUCAAACGGUCCAAUUGCAGGGGAUUCAGAGACCAGUGAACAAUAUUGUGGAGGAAGAUCCUACUGUUAAACCUAAGGAGGGGUCGGUGAGAGGAAUUUGGUUGCAAAUCAUGGAUGGUAAUAAUGGUAAAGACAGAACAACACAACCAGCAGAGGUGCAGAAAAUUCUAGACAGUUUUAAAGAGGUCUUUGCCAAGCCUAUUGAACUGCCACUUCCUAGGAAUUUUGAUCACAAAAUUAAAUUAUUGGAAGGUACUAAACUCAUUUGUAUACCCUACAGGCACCCUUAUUACCAAAAGGAAGAGAUAGAGAAGCUGGCAGAUGAGUUACUAAAGAAUGGAAACAUAAGAAGCAGUCAAAGUCCCUAUUAUUCUUCGGUGCUACUUGUGAGAAAAGCUGAUGGGAGUUGGAGAAUAUGUGUGGAUUAUCAUGCACUCAACAAGGAGACCAUAAAAGAUAAGUAUCUUAUUCCAAACAUUGAUGAGUUGCUUGAUAAACUAGGAGGAGCUGAGGUAUUUUCUAAAUUAGAUUUGAAAUUGGGAUAUCAUCAGAUACGCAUAAAUCUUAAUGACAUCCCUAAAACUGCCUUCCGGGCACAUGAGGGGCAUUAUGAGUUUUUAGUAAUGCCCUUUGGGCUUACUAAUGCACCAUUUACAUUUCAAGGAGUGAUGAAUGAAGUAUUUAGACCCUAUUUGAGGAAGUUUGUGCUUGUGUUUUUUGAUGAUAUCUUAGUCUACAGCAAGUCUAUGCAAGAGCAUGUAAAACAUCUUACAAGAGCCUUGGAGUUUUCACAAGCUAACCAGUUUUAUGCAAAGCUGUCAAAGUGUGUUUUUUGCAGUAAAGAGGUGGAGUACUUGGGACAUAUUAUCUCAAAGGAAGGAGUUAAAGCAUAUCCUCAAAAGCUGGUUGCAAUGCAAGAAUGGCCAACUCCUAAGAACCUUAAGGCACUAAGAGGUUUUUUAGGACUCACAGGAUAUUACAGGAAAUUUGAUAAGAGAUAUGAGCAAUAGCAGCCCCAUUAACAGCUCUUCUAAGGAAAAACUCAUUUUCUUGGAAUGAUCAAGCACAUGGAGCAUUUGAGAGACUUAAGGAGGCGAUGGUAAGGCCACAAGUGCUUAGCUUACCUAAUUUCACUAAAACAUUUUGUGGUGGAAUGUGAUGCAUCAGGGAAAGCAUUGGGAGUUGUUUUAAUGCAAGAGGGGCAACCAAUAGCAUAUUUUAGCCAGGCUUUAAAGGAGAGAGAGGAAUCUAAACCUUUCCACUUAUGAAAAGGAAUUAUUGGCACUAGUGAUGGUAGUGAGGAAAUAGAGACACUACCUGUUGGGACAGUCCUUCAAGGUACGUACUGACCAUCAGGCACUCAAAUACCUACUGGAACAAAGGGUAGGGACCUCCUCACAACAAAAUUGGCUCUCUGAAUUGCUUGGGUAUGACUUCAUAGUGGAAUAUAGAAGUGUUGAGUAAUGCAGUAGCUGAUGCCUUAUCUCGGGUACAAUACUUAGAACUCCAAGACCCAAACAGUGACCAAAUACUAACCUAAACCACAAACCAAACCACACAAAAAAAUCGAAUUAUCCAAAACCAAGCCAUCAACAUUUUACAAGCUCAAUGGAUAGAAGAGUUGAAGAAGGCUUACCUCUAGGACCCCAUGUUGCAGCAGUUGAUAAGCCACUACCAUCAUGGAGACUUGGACUUAACUCGUUACCAACUCUGAAAUAAGUUACUCUUUUACAAGGGUAGACUACAUCUCAGGUCACUUGUUCCCUUCCAGCAGUAAAUCAUGCACCAGUUCCACAGCAGUCCAUUAGGAGGCCACACAAGAGUAUUAAAAAUCCACACAAGAAUAAAAAAGGAGUUUUACUGGCCUGGUCUGCGAAAUGAUGUCAUAACACAUAUCAAGGAGUGUGAUGUAUGCUAGAGGAAUAAAGUUGAAGCCCUCCAUCCUAUGGGGUUGCUUCAACCUUUACCUAUUCCUAGCAAAAACUGGGAAGAUAUUAGCAUGAAUUUCAUUGAAGGUUUGCCCCCUCAGGAGGAAAGACAGUGAUCCUUGUGGUGGUGGAUAGGCUAAAUAAGUAUUCUCAUUUUAUGCCUAUUAAUCAUCCAUACAUAGCACUAACGGUGGCUAGAGGUUUUAUGGAUAAUAUUUUCAAGUUACACUGGUUAUCACAAACAAUUGUUAGUGAUCGAGAUCCCGUGUUUACUAGCAAUUUCUGGAAUGAACUAGUCAGGUUAUGUGGAGCAGAUUUAUUACUUAGCACAACCUAUCAUCCCCGAACGGAUGGCCAAACAAAGGCAUGAAUAAAGUGCUCGAGUGCUAUCUCCAAUGUUUUUCCAGUGACAGAUCGAAAGAUUGGGCAAAAUGGUUACCUUUAGCUAAGUAUUCCUAUAAUACCUCAGUACAUACAUCCACGAAGGUAACAUCUUUUGAAGCUGUUUAUGGUCAGCCACUACCUCGAAUGUUACCAUAUGAGGUAAGAUCUACUAAAGUGCAAGCUGUUGAUGAAGAACUUUAGACCCGAGAGUUUAUUGCUAAACUCAUCGAGGAAAACCUGUAGGAAGCCCAAUCAAAGAUGAAAUAUUUCACUGAUAAAACAAAAAGGAACCAAGAGUUUGAAAUUGGAGACUCGGUUUGAAAUUGAAAUUGAAGACUUGGUUACGGUCGUAUCGGCAAAUGACAGUAGCAAUGCGAAGGAACUUGAAGAUCGCUCCGAGAUAUUUUGGGCCUUUUAGAGUGAUCCGAAAGGUUGGGUCAAAUUGCAUAUGAGCUCGAUCUAUCUCCUGAAGCUAAGAUCUAUCCCGUGUUUCAUAUUUCGUGCCUUAAGAGAAAGCUAGGAGAAGGAAUACAAGCUUGUGCACACCUACAGCUCAUCACGCCCAAAGGCUCCUUGGAAUCUGAACCCGAGAGAAUCUUGCGAAGGAGGUUGAAAAGAAAAGGAAAUGUUGCCGGAGUUUGACUUGCGAAGGAGGUUGAAAAGAAAAGGAAAUGUUGCCGGAGUUUGGUCUUGGUACAAUUGGCUGGGGCCAGCGAGGAAUAUGCUACUUGGGAAGACCUAGAUACCCUAAGGAGGCGAUUUCAUAACAUUGAGGACAUUGUUUCCUAAGAAGGGGGUCUGUUAUGAGUCUGUCUUCAAUUGUUAAACUAUGCCGUUUUGUUGUUGACUGGGUCGUGUCAUAGGCUGUAUCUUAGUGGGUAGUUAUUUCAUUUUAUUAUGGGUCAGUUACUGUUUACUAGGUCAGUUGUUUAUUUCCGUAAGUAAUGGGCU
rnacentral:lncRNA from 1 species